rnacentral:rRNA from 1 species
ACGCUCGACACCUACGGGAGACAGCAGUGGGGAAUAUUGCACAAUGGGGGAAACCCUGAUGCAGCGACGCCGCGUGAAGGAAGAAGUAUUUCGGUAUGUAAACUUCUAUCAGCAGGGAAGAAACUGACGGUACCUGACUAAGAAGCACCGGCUAAAUACGUGCCAGCAGCCGCGGUAAUCUGAGCGGGCUGGCAAGGC